CAGCAGUGAGGAAUAUUGCACAAUGGGAGAAAGCCUGAUGCAGCAACGCCGCGUGAGCGAUGAAGCCCUUGGGGUCGUAAAGCUCUGUCCUUGGGGAAGAAAAAAAUGACGGUACCCUUGGAGGAAGCCCCGGCUAACUACGUG
rnacentral:rRNA from 1 species